rnacentral:tRNA from 1 species
GCCAGCAUGGCUCAGUGGUAGAGCAGCCGCCUUGUAAGCGGCAGGUCGUCGGUUCAAAUCCGUCUGCUGGCU